UACGUAGGGGCCGAGCGUUGUCCGGAGUUACUGGGCGUAAAGCGCGCGCAGGCGGCUCGUCAAGCCUGACGUGAAAGCCCCCGGCUCAACCGGGGAGGGUCGUCGGGGACUGGCGGGCUUGAGGUCGGCAGGGGUUGGUGGAAUUCCCGGUGUAGUGGUGAAAUGCGCAGAUAUCGGGAGGAACACCUAUGGCGAAGGCAGCUCGCUGGGACGUUACUGACGCUGAGACGCGAAAGCGUGGGGAGCAAACAGG
rnacentral:rRNA from 1 species